rnacentral:tRNA from 1 species
GGAAUUGUAGCUCAGUGGUAGAGCACUCGCCUAGUAUGUGUAAGGCACUGGGCUCAAUUCUCAGCACCA